UACGAAGGGGGCGAGCGUUGUUCGGAAUCACUGGGCGUAAAGCGCACGUAGGCGGAUUUGUAAGUCAGGGGUGAAAUCCCGGGGCUCAACCUCGGAACUGCCUUUGAUACUGCGAAUCUUGAGUCCGAUAGAGGUGGGUGGAAUUCCUAGUGUAGAGGUGAAAUUCGUAGAUAUUAGGAAGAACACCGGUGGCGAAGGCGGCCCACUGGAUCGGUACUGACGCUGAGGUGCGAAAGCGUGGAGAGCAAACAGG
rnacentral:rRNA from 1 species